rnacentral:rRNA from 1 species
UACGAAGGUGGCAAGCGUUGUUCGGAUUUACUGGGCGUACAGGGAGCGUAGGCGGUUGGAUAAGCCCUCCGUGAAAUCUCCAGGCUUAACCUGGAAAGUGCAGAGGGGACUGUUCAGCUAGAGGAUGGGAGAUGAGCGCGGAAUUCCCGGUGUAGCGGUGAAAUGCGUAGAUAUCAGGAGGAACACCGGUGGCGAAGGCGGCCCUCUGGACGGAUACUGACGCUGAGACGCAACAGCGUGGGGAGCAAACAGG